CUUUAGAAGAUUUAUAAUUCCCAAAGGUUUUAAGAGCAUUGCCCUUUUUGCUGGUGCUAAGAUUUGCUCCUUUUUCCCUUUCUGGUACAAAAAAGGAUGAUCAUUUUUGGUCCAAUAUUUUCGUUUUGUACAAUUCUCUUCAAGUUUUGUGGAGCGAAAGAAAUUAGUUUUCAUAAUUUGAAUGUCGAAUCAAAGCAAUUAGUUUUUGAAGUCCUACUGGAAAAGGUGAAAUUUCACAUUGUGCUUUGUCACUGAUAUUACAUAUACAGGAUCAUAAUGAUUUUCAUGCCAAUAGAAAUUGUCCCCUGCUUCACUGUAUAGUCACAAGUGCAAAGUGGCAAGCUCUUUUGUCCACACUCAAGAAAGUUGAGCUUUCUAUCAGUCAGCCUAAUUUUGCAAUAUAUAUUUUGUGCAAUCUUAUGUUUUAGCU